ACUAAUUUGAUUGCCAAUAUAUUAAAUAUUUACUUAUUUAUUUUAUCUGAAUUUUUUUUAACCAAAGUUGGCGACAUUUUUCAAAUUGAACAUUUGAAUGAUAAUUUUCAAAUUGUUGUGAAUUCUUUAAAGUCUUUUGCAGCUCCAAUAUUCAGGUUUAUCUUCAAGAUGUUUUAUGGGCACCAGAGUAAGCCGAUAUCACAAACGUCCACAUCCACAAACUUCAAGCGAUUUUUAAUAAAAUACUAAAAAUGAUGUUUAACCUUGCCUUGGUAGAACAGGGGAUGCACGUUAUUGAACAAUGAUCGAAUCUCUAACCUUAUAUAGUGGUGAUCUAAGAGCGAUGCAUUACUUUUUUGAUUUUUUUCUCACAUACAAAAUUUUGAACACGUUAAAUUUUGUUUUAACAGUAUAGUAAGUAUACGUAGUUUUAUUGUAAAGGGCAUUUAACUAUGUAUUAUGAGCAUACAAUGUAAAACUAAUUAUAUAUGCAAUAAAAUAAAGAAUACGAGAUUUUAUUAAACCACA